AGAUUGAACUGAAGAGUUUGAUCCUGGCUCAGAUUGAACGCUGGCGGCAUGCUUUACACAUGCAAGUCGAACGGCAGCGCGGGCUUCGGCCUGGCGGCGAGUGGCGAACGGGUGAGUAAUAUAUCGGAACGUACCCAGGAGUGGGGGAUAACGUAGCGAAAGUUACGCUAAUACCGCAUACGUCCUAAGGGAGAAAGCGGGGGAUCGCAAGACCUCGUGCUCAUGGAGCGGCCGAUAUCUGAUUAGCUAGUUGGUGGGGUAAAGGCUCACCAAGGCAACGAUCAGUAGCUGGUCUGAGAGGACGACCAGCCACACUGGAACUGAGACACGGUCCAGACUCCUACGGGAGGCAGCAGUGGGGAAUUUUGGACAAUGGGGGCAACCCUGAUCCAGCAAUGCCGCGUGAGUGAAGAAGGCCUUCGGGUUGUAAAGCUCUUUUGUCAGGGAAGAAACGAUCCU
rnacentral:rRNA from 1 species